UUUUAUACUUUUUUUUUUCUUAACCUCGUUUCCCCACCUGCGAUUCUUCUCCAUUUCUCCAGCGUCUUGUCAAAAAUCAAUCCUUGAUUCCGCUUUUACCAACACUUUGGUGUUUUAUCUUUAUCUUUGAGUGAGCCAUGGGGAGAAAGGCUGGAAAUUUGUACAUAAACCCGAAAAAGCUAGGCGGUAUAGCGAAACCGUGUAUGAAGGAGAUGGUGUCGUUUCUCAACUGCAUGGCUCUUAACAAAUGCAAAGAUGAUAACUGCGAGAAACAGAAGAACCUCCUUAGCGUUUGUAUGAACGGACAUGCGGAGAAGUCCAAGUCGUGGGGAAACAUUAACUACCAUUUGCAGAGGUUAACCCGCGGAAGAAAGUAAUGUGGCAUAUGGAUCCAUAGACUGAUGGGUCAAUUGGUAGUUAUAAUGGUCUUAUUGAUUUCUCUGUUUCUUUCCCAGUGUUUUUGGGGUACUUCAUAUUUAUAUGUUGUUGGCAUCUAGAAGAAGAAGUAGAAACUUUGGACAUAUUGUUCACUUAAAGAGAAAGGAUUUGGUCUCUUUGUUUUUGCAAUAAACAUGUCUUCUGAGUCAA